AUUGAACGCUGGCGGCAGGCCUAACACAUGCAAGUCGAGCGGAGCGGCGGACGGGUGAGUAAUGCCUAGGAAUCUGCCUGGUAGCGGGGGAUAACGUCCGGAAACGGGCGCUAAUACCGCAUACUAUCAGAUGAGCCUAGGUCGGAUUAGCUAGUUGGUGGGGUAAAGGCCUACCAAGGCAACGAACCGUAACUGGUCGGAGAGGAAGAUCAGUCACACUGGAACGGAGAAACGGUCCAGACUCCUACGGGAGGCAGCAGUGGGGAAUAUUGGACAAUGGGCGAAAACCUGAUCCAGGCAUGCCGCGUGUAUGAAGAAGGUCCUCGGAUUGUGAAGCACUUUAAGUUGGGAGGCGUUACCAGCAGAAUAAGCACCGGCUAACUUCGUGCCAGCAGCCGCGGUAAUAC
rnacentral:rRNA from 1 species